rnacentral:rRNA from 1 species
UGGCGGCAGGCCUAACACAUGCAAGUCGAGCGCGCCUUCGGGUGAGCGGCGGACGGGUUAGUAACGCGUGGGAACGUACCCUUUUCUACGGAAUAGCCUUUGGAAACGAAGAGUAAUACCGUAUACGCCCUUUGGGGGAAAGAUUUAUCGGAGAAGGAUCGGCCCGCGUUAGAUUAGAUAGUUGGUGGGGUAACGGCCUACCAAGUCUACGAUCUAUAGCUGGUUUUAGAGGAUGAUCAGCAACACUGGGACUGAGACACGGCCCAGACUCCUACGGGAGGCAGCAGUGGGGAAUCUUAGACAAUGAGCGCAAGCCUGAUCUAGCCAUGCCGCGUGAGUGAUGAAGGCCUUAGGGUCGUAAAGCUCUUUCGCCUGUGAUGAUAAUGACAGUAGCAGGUAAAGAAACCCCGGCUAACUCCGUGCCAGCAGCCGCGGUAAUACGGAGGGGGUUAGCGUUGUUCGGAAUUACUGGGCGUAAAGCGCACGUAGGCGGAUUGGAAAGUUGGGGGUGAAAUCCCGGGGCUCAACCCCGGAACUGCCUCCAAAACUAUCAGUCUAGAGUUCGAGAGAGGUGAGUGGAAUUCCAAGUGUAGAGGGUGAAAUUCGUAGAUAUUUGGAGGAACACCAGUGGCGAAGGCGGCUCACUGGCUCGAUACUGACGCUGAGGUGCGAAAGUGUGGAGAGCAAACAGGAUUAGAUACCCUGGUAGUCCACACCGUAAACGAUGAA